rnacentral:rRNA from 1 species
CGGACGGGUGAGUAACACGUGGAUAACCUACCUAUAAGACUGGGAUAACUUCGGGAAACCGGAGCUAAUACCGGAUAAUAUAUUGAACCGCAUGGUUCAAUAGUGAAAGACGGUUUUGCUGUCACUUAUAGAUGGAUCCGCGCCGCAUUAGCUAGUUGGUAAGGUAACGGCUUACCAAGGCAACUAUGCGUAGCCGACCUGAGAGGGUGAUCGGCCACACUGGAACUGAGACACGGUCCAG